CACAAAAUAACAUUUAAAAAAAAUAUGCUAAAUAAAUAUAAAUAUAAAUAAAUAAAUAUGAGAAAUAUGCUGAAAAGAUACCAUUUUGAAUUUAAUUAGGAAUUUUUCCCCUCCUUUUCAGUCAGAUCUGAUUUGUCAUGUUCAUCAACCUGGUCUCCUGCUCUAAGAGCCUCUUCCUCCUCCAGGAACUCCUCCUCCUCAAUAUAUAAAAAUCAAAAUAUAAAACAAUUGUUGUUGUUCUUAUGUACUUAUGAUAUAUUCAAUAGCUGUUUGAAUAUAGAGUAUAUAGAAUAUAGAGAAUAUAUAAAAAAGUCCACUAUAUUAUGGUAUGAAAUGAUAAGUUAUUAUUAUUAUGAAACAACUCCCCCAUGUUCCUUAAUGCUUAGAAUGCAUGAUUUUCCUUUAAUAGGGCACAUCCACUCUCUCCUAUCUGAUUGGUUGGUUCACCUUUACCAUUCAUUUUUCUUCUUCUUAACUGGAGGCCUGCCUUCUUAACAUGGCUAAGUGAACGGAGAGUUCUGAUCUGGGGAAGGUGACCUAGUUAUGACGAGCUGAGAUCUGAGCCAGAUUUGAAUCCAACCAUGAAUUAUUACAACCAGAGGAGAGCGCCCAUUUCAUAUUUCUUGACAGUAAGAGCAAUGAAGCUUCAGACAAACGAGUUGCUGCUUCGUCUAGUGUUUCUUGGCCAUUUUUGGAAACAUUUGCACACAUUUGAUGUGAUCAGUAUUUGCAGCAUAAUUCAGUAUAACAGUUGCUGGGUUUUUUCUAUAGCUGCACUGACAAUAGUGUGCAGUGAUCGUGUGUAUCUACUCAUUGACAAACUAAUGAGCCCGCACUGUCACCUGGGGUCGUGCAGGACGCUUGUGAUUGGAUAACGAGGCGCAGUCGUGGCCGUUAAAAGUGGAAAGAACUGGAAAUACAGCCCUGUGGCAGUUGCAAAAUGGUGAUGUGUGAAGGCACAGUGAAAAAAGUUUGCUGUUAUUACAACGGCCAAAAGAAGAGGUUUAACCAAGUUCCACUCCUGAUGAUGGGACCUUUGUUGAAUCCUGUGAGCACAUGUUGACAGAAGUAGUGUUUGCUCCAGGUUUUUGUCGUGAGAAAGGCCUGUCAUGGGGGAGGUUCAGAGGGCCGAGAUAUGAAGAGAAGAAGGGCAGUUUCCAGGACGUCUGAGGCAAUCGUUGGCCUUUUUAGGAAGAUAA